UUCAGAUAGUGUUAAAAGUUCACUAGGAUCCACCAAACUGAAUAUCAAGUUAUAUAUCUAAAGAUCUUGUAGGAUAUAUGACCGAAAGUAUGGAGAAUGCUGCAGACACUGACCGAAGAAAUAUGCAAAUGUCAAUCCAAAUGUUUACUUUUUGGAAUGAGAUGAGAUAUGUGUUCUAAUAGAGACUACCAGUUUAAAAAGAAGUUAACAAUAAACCACCCUAUACGAGGUAGAACAUACGUCAUAAGGUACCAACCUGCUACCGAUACAGGCUGUCAGUAGGUUUGCUUGUGAUUUUACCUUGAGUUGCUGAUUUCAAUGAAAAUUUUAGGCUGAGAAUAGCAAAUGUGAAAGAGAUACCCGAAAUUGAAGACCUGUCAGUUAAAGACCCACCAAGAUGAACUUGUCGAGAAGGGAUAAUAUUCAUAUAUUGACUACAAAGAUGUAAUUAUGGAAGGCUCUUUAUGAAAACAAAAGUUGAUGUCAGUCAUUAGUAUUGUGUAUAGUGCCAUGGAAGACCAAAUAUAUCUACAGACUGGAUCAAAUCAGUCUCAAGAGGU